CCCCUCCAGGUGCCAGCAGGGUAGCCGGCCGGUCCCCAUGGCCUCUCUGGACCUGGCUUCCUCGUCUGGGCCGUGGGGAUGGAGUCGCAGCAGGCUGGCCUGGCACGGUUGUUUUGAGUAUGACUGAGCGAGCCCCUGGGACGCACGGCCCUCCUGUCACUAGAAGCUCCACGUGGUGCCAGGACUUCCCUUCCGGGAUCAGUAAGAGUAAUGACAAAUGCUCCCGCCUCCUCCCAGGGAGCAAACGAUCUCCAGGUCAUAAAGGGCAAGAGCAACAGGCCACACUCUGCGAAGACGACGCCUCCGAGAUCUAAAUCCACACUAUGGACAGUGGCCUCCGGGGUGUUGCCAUCCAGUCUCGGGAAUGAGAAGGAAGCCUCCAGACUCCGCGUGCAAACUCAGGAGGAGCAUCUCUGUGGCUUCAGCGGCUGAAGCACCCCUGCCUGAAAGCUCCCUGGUGUCAGACGCCCCGUGAGGGGAGGCGGGGACAGAGCCCACCCCUCUCGGGGUCUCUGGAAAGAGCAUCAUCUGCGGGAGCAUCCGCCAGCCCUGCCUCCGUGUCCUCCCUCCUGCUCCAGGGGCGACCCUCCUGGGAGCCUCACAGGGAAGGGCCAUGGCCAAAAUGAGGGAGGGGCCCAGGUGCCAGGUGUCUCCGCAGAGCCUGUCCCGGCGGAGGCCGCACCCCCCACCCCUGCCCUGAGACCACGGUAGUCACAGUGACCAUGGAUCCUCGCAGCUGCUGCCUCCAUCAGGGUCGGUGCGGGAACAAAGCACCCAGGGAUGCAGCAGACCCCGAGAGCGGGGCGCCCUGAGGACCGGCUGGCCAGGCCCCUCCCUGGGGAAAGUGACCAGAGAAGCCGUGGCUGCCGCCCCCCAGGGCCCAAGAUGCCCUUUGAGCUUUCUCUCCUCAAGAGCCUGCGGCUCCAAAGGAAGAUGAUGCCAGACACGGCGCAUGGACGCACUACAGAUGCCCCCAUGGGGAGGAGAGCUGAGCUCACCUCCACUUCACGUGCAGGUCACUGCCCCCCACGUCCUGGGCCUGGGCCCCGUUUGUCUCCGGUCCCCGGGCUGCUCCAGCUCCUCUCAAGGAGCCAGGAGGAGAGGCUCAGCCCAGGACGCUUGCUGACUAAGGAGGCUGCGCUGUGCUGAGCUGUUUCAGGCCAGCUCCUGGGCUGCUGUGGGAUUCCUAGUCUGGAGGAGGAAAGGGUUAACUUUGUGGCAGCACAGGGAAGUUCUGGGAUCCACGAUGUUUUCCAAUUCUGUGUUUCUUCUGGUCAUUAAUUGGAUAGAAGUUGUUAAACUUGAUGAGGAAGCCAGAGAGAACGCAGGUUGACUGAAUCUCUGGGAGAUUAAGUUAAUUUUUCUCCUCCAAGAACUGCCGGAAGCUUCCACGUCGGUGCUGCUGAAAGAGAAAGGAACAGAAUGGUUCAGACAGG
rnacentral:lncRNA from 1 species